AUUGAACGCUGGCGGCAUGCUUUACACAUGCAAGUCGAACGGCAGCGCGGGCUUCGGCCUGGCGGCGCGUGGCGAACGGGUGAGUAAUGCAUCGGAACGUGCCCAGUCGUGGGGGAUAGCCCGGCGACAGCCGGAUUAAUACCGCAUACGUCCUGAGGGUGAAAGCGGGGGACCGAAAGGCCUCGCGCUAUUGGCGCGGCCGAUGUCGGAUUAGCUAGUUGGUGGGGUAAAGGCUUACCAAGGCGACGAUCCGUAGCUGGUCUGAGAGGACGACCAGCCACACUGGGACUGAGACACGGCCCAGACUCCUACGGGAGGCAGCAGUGGGGAAUUUUGGACAAUGGGGGCAACCCUGAUCCAGCCAUGCCGCGUGCGGGAAGAAGGCCUUCGGGUUGUAAACCGCUUUUGUUCGGGAAGAAAUCCUCUGGGCUAAUACCCCGGGGGGAUGACGGUACCGGAAGAAUAAGCACCGGCUAACUACGUG
rnacentral:rRNA from 1 species